rnacentral:rRNA from 34 species
AGCGAAAUGCGAUACUUGGUGUGAAUUGCAGAAUCCCGUGAACCAUCGAGUCUUUGAACGCAAGUUGCGCCUGAAGCCAUUAGGCUAAGGGCACGUCUGCCUGGGCGUCACGC